rnacentral:misc_RNA from 1 species
AGAAAAAUAUACACUUCCAAUCGAUCAGGGAAGGGUACUGUGUUAUCUCAUUCCACAAGCCAUGAGGUACAUUUGCAGGACCUGUUCGCGUAUGGCCGAUCCCGCGGCAGCCAAGAAUCUCUUCGAGCCAUCAAGCUCUUCCGUUUUGCGCCAAAUAGAGACCUUAACCAAUUUGCAGCUGAAAGAGUACGACAAGUUGCCCAGGUUCAUGUGCCAGGACUGCCAGCACGACCUGCAGAUUGCCAUCGACUUUCGCCGAGUUUGCAUCGAGGCCCAAGAGCUCCUCGAACUUCAGCUGAGGCAGGUGGAAAAGGAGGAGGAGGCAUUCGAGAGCCUGGCGGAACAAUGGUUGGAUGACUGUCCGGAGGAGUUAUCCAAUUCGUCGCCAACUCUGCAGGUCUUCGAUCCUGAGCCACAAGACCAUGGUGUAAUGGCUGCCAUAGCGACCACACCAAGAACCGAGUGCAGGAAUGAAUUCCAGCCAGUGGCUAGAACGCAUAGUUUUCCAGAAGAUUCUACAGAUAGCCAGUUGUCGGAUGAGCACUUUGACAUAGUACUCUCCCCCCAAUCGGAACCGGCAAGUCCUCCAGAAAGUGAAGCUAUCGACAAUCCGGACACUUCCAGUCACACCUGCAGCAAGUGUGGCCUCGAAUUCGAAAACGUAGACGAACUGAAGCUGCACAAGUACCAUCUGCACGACGUCCCUCCAGAUACCAAAACGAUUUUCCAUAUGAUUCCAUAUAUUCCUGCUGCUUUGAUGGGAAUCAAAGACGGAGCAUUUAGAAAUGGAAAAUGAGAUUUUUCAAGAAUCCCCUAAACCCUAUCACUGAACGACUAGUACAGUCGUCCACAGCUUAUUCUAGUUCGUUUGUGACCAUUGCGACGAGGGCUUCCGAUCCGCAGCCGCACUCACGCGGCACUGCAACAU